rnacentral:rRNA from 1 species
GGGGGAAAUAAGGGAAGACACUAAUGCAGUCGACGCUUCUUUUUCCACCGGAGCUUGCUCCACCGGAAAAAGAGGAGUGGCGAACGGGUGAGUAACACGUGGGUAACCUGCCCAUCAGAAGGGGAUAACACUUGGAAACAGGUGCUAAUACCGUAUAACAAUCAAAACCGCAUGGUUUUGAUUUGAAAGGCGCUUUCGGGUGUCGCUGAUGGAUGGACCCGCGGUGCAUUAGCUAGUUGGUGAGGUAACGGCUCACCAAGGCCACGAUGCAUAGCCGACCUGAGAGGGUGAUCGGCCACAUUGGGACUGAGACACGGCCCAAACUCCUACGGGAGGCAGCAGUAGGGAAUCUUCGGCAAUGGACGAAAGUCUGACCGAGCAACGCCGCGUGAGUGAAGAAGGUUUUCGGAUCGUAAAACUCUGUUGUUAGAGAAGAACAAGGAUGAGAGUAACUGUUCAUCCCUUGACGGUAUCUAACCAGAAAGCCACGGCUAACUACGUGCCAGCAGCCGCGGUAAUACGUAGGUGGCAAGCGUUGUCCGGAUUUAUUGGGCGUAAAGCGAGCGCAGGCGGUUUCUUAAGUCUGAUGUGAAAGCCCCCGGCUCAACCGGGGAGGGUCAUUGGAAACUGGGAGACUUGAGUGCAGAAGAGGAGAGUGGAAUUCCAUGUGUAGCGGUGAAAUGCGUAGAUAUAUGGAGGAACACCAGUGGCGAAGGCGGCUCUCUGGUCUGUAACUGACGCUGAGGCUCGAAAGCGUGGGGAGCAAACAGGAUUAGAUACCCUGGUAGUCCACGCCGUAAACGAUGAGUGCUAAGUGUUGGAGGGUUUCCGCCCUUCAGUGCUGCAGCUAACGCAUUAAGCACUCCGCCUGGGGAGUACGACCGCAAGGUUGAAACUCAAAGGAAUUGACGGGGGGCCCGCACAAGCGGUGGAGCAUGUGGUUUAAUUCGAAGCAACGCG